UGGGAAAUAUUGCACAAUGGGGGAAACCCUGAUGCAGCGACGCCGCGUGAACGAAGAAGGUAUUCGUAUCGUAAAGUUCUGUCCUAUGGGAAGAUAAUGACAGUACCAUAGAAGAAAGCUCCGGCUAAAUACGUGCCAGCAGCCGCGGUAAUACGUAUGGAGCGAGCGUUGUCCGGAAUUAUUGGGCGUAAAGGGUACGCAGGCGGUUUAAUAAGUCGAAUGUUAAAGAUCGGGGCUCAACCCCGCAAAGCAUUGGAAACUGAUAAACUUGAGUAGUGGAGAGGAAAGUGGAAUUCCUAGUGUAUUGGUGAAAUACGUAGAUAUUAGGAGGAAUACCAGUAGCGAAGGCGACUUUCUGGACACAAACUGACGCUGAGGUACGAAAGCGUGGGGAGCAAGCAGG
rnacentral:rRNA from 1 species